UACAGGGGGUGCAAACGUUGCUCGGAAUCAUUGGGCGUAAAGCGCACGUAGGCGGUUCGUUAUGUCGGAUGUGAAAGCCCUUGGCUUAACCGAGGAAGUGCAUCCGAAACUGGCGAGCUAGAGUACGAAAGAGGAUCGCGGAAUUCCCGGUGUAGAGGUGAAAUUCAUAGAUAUCGGGAGGAACACCGGUGGCGAAGGCGGCGAUCUGGGUCGAUACUGACGCUGAGGUGCGAAAGCGUGGGGAGCAAACAGG
rnacentral:rRNA from 1 species